rnacentral:lncRNA from 1 species
CACUGAACGUGACCAACUCCGGAGCUAUUUUUGCUGUCAAGAUUUGCUCCGAUGGGAUAUGGGUAUAACUAUCCCUCCGACCUGAGACCGCCACGGUGACUUGCAAGCAACUCACUGCACUUAGGCACUGGACUAUCUGAAUUUCUAAUUCAGUGACGGAAGGAUGCUGGGUGUAGUCAAAUACUUGACUUGUCGGUGCGUGUGUCAAGAUGGGAUUGACCACUCCAGUUUAGGAACUGUGUACAGUCGUGUUUUAAUUUAGCAAAACUUUAGCUAGGGUAGUCCUAGUGAGGAGUCACAGGACUGUUUGAGUUGAGCACGAUUUGGAUGAUCUAAUCAGGGUUGACAGUUUAACCCUGAGUCGUCCUAAACACAGGGGUCAAAAAGGAUGAAUUAUACAGUAACCAUAUUCACGUAAGUUUUGAAUGUUGUGAUUGCGACUAUUCGACCUAUCCGAAUAUCGGGUACCAUUGCUAGAUGGUCACUUCGAUUAGUACAGGAAUUGAUUUCUGUGCUACCGGCUUAGGUUCGAACCUGCGGGGUCACACACAU